GGGGGGCAGGGGGCGGCUGGAGAAUAUCUAGAUUUGUGUCGCAAAGGGCGCAAUAUCUCGCCGAGUUAAAAUCCCAGCAGGUGGGCUGACGGGGCCACCUGCAGCCAGGAGAACUUGGGGGAACCUCCAAGUACAAACUGCAGAUGUGGCAACAGCUGGUGUCUAAUCCCUGAGGGCACAGUCUCUCCUCCUUCCCCAGUGAAAGUGAAGAAUCUCAUAGAAUCCUUGUGAGGAUGAAUGAACUAAUUCAUGUUUGAAGAAAAAAAUGAUUCUGACACUUACUUUAAAGGUGAGGAAGACUUAUUCGAGACUGUUGGGAUCCCCUCUAAGUGCUUAUUCUUAUUUCCAGGAGGGGAGAGACCACGUGGAAACCUGAAAGACUGCCUGGGUGGGUCCUAAGAUCCUAUCAAGACACAGACUCUCUCCAGAUAUGAAGAACAGAGUUUUCCAGGACUCUCCAGGCAAGAAUACUGGAGUGGGUUGCCGUGCCCUUCCCCAGGGGAUCUUCCUGAUCCAGGGAUCGAACCCAUGUCUCCUGUGGCUCCUGACUUGCAGGUGGAUUCUUUAUUUCUGAGCCACAGGGGACACCAUUAUAAUAGCAGAAACUCCCUACAAGGAAGAUAAUGGAGGAGGCUGGGCCCUGCCAGAUAAGAGAUAAAAGACCACAUCGUCCUCAUACUUGAAGUUAAGCAGACCUCCCCAACUACACAUGCGCAGAAAGGCUCCUUGGAGGUCAAAAAAGGAGGGGGCAUCACCUCAUAGUAAGUGAUGUCUACCUACCUACGGUCAUCUGCACUAGACUCCAUCUUGGCCAAGAGAUGCGCAUGCACAUGUGGGAGGACCCUGAACUAAACCAGGGCAGCCUCAGGACCAGGCAAAGCACGAUUGGUCAAAGGAAACCUGGAAGAAAUGCCCCAUAAAAGUGAUUCAAACUACCACGAGGACACUUUCCCUCUGAGCCCGCCCUUGUGUAUAUCCACACAUAUUGUACUCUGUUUUUCCUCCUAAUAAAUACUUUGUUUCA